CAAUAAUUGUCUGAGCGCAGGGACGCAUUAAUGCACGUCAAUAUUCGAGCAGGCAGAGACCAGUUUUUGCUUAUCACCUACCGGGCGGACCGCUGUGACAACCCAAUACAUUGUGAGGGACAAGAUACCCUUCUGUCCCACUCUCACGGCUAAUUAGUGUGGCCACCAAGUCACUGCCACGAGUGGCAACAUCAUCGUCAGUAUCAUCCUCAAAAUAAUCAACGUGAUCAGCCCUGUUCUAAUGAUCGUAGUAAAUUUAUACAAGUGAACGUAAAGCCGUUCUUUUAAUUUAGCACAUUGUUACCGGCCCCUGUAGUCACAGUGAUGACUCGCUUUGCCACUAAAAUGAUCCAAUGUUGUUAGCCUGCAGAGAAAAAGCACUUUCUGACCUCAGUCUUGUGGAUAAAUACAACAAUCUAAGCACAAUACCUGGAAUAUCUUGUUUGCCAAUAUAACUAUAGCACUUUUAAUUGCAUCAAGGCGUUUGGCCUAACAGCUAGCGGGCCGCUGGAAUUGGACAACAACAACAACAACAACGCAAAAGAGCAAGUAAGCAGGGAAAAGGUUGCUGAACCGAAGCGACACGCAGGGAAACCAAUGGUGACAUCUGUGCGGAGACGUGUGACCUUUCCAAACCAAAGGAAGUGACACAUCUGAGGGAGCUGUACUUCACGUCAUCUUGGUCCCUCUGAGUGUGUUCACCAAAACACAGCUGGUUUGAGCCGCUGCGUCUUCUGCACCAACAUAAGCAGCAACCCGGAUAGAGGCAGAGUCAACCGGUCCAAUCAAGUCCCCGGCUGCAUACAAGAACAAAGUCAGUUAUUGUUGUGUGUCCGUGAUGAAAUGUCAGCUACACGGCAGACAGAGCAGGACCGGAGGGUUGGUGGUGGGGAAGACUGACCCACCCGACAAUGGAGUUACUGUGAUGAGGACGUCAGACAUGAAUUUCCGCCAUCCUUGUGACUUUCCCUCGGCCACAAAUGGGCUCAUUCCAAGGACACCACAGACUCCAAGCUACGUACCUGAAUCCCUACCGGCUGAUCCAAGGGACUCUCCUCCAGUCCGUAACCCGGAACUCGGACUACCCUCCUGUUAACGUUCCAUCCUGAUCAUCUGCCUGCCUAUUCCUCAUAUCUCCGUCUGCUUCCAUUGAACUCACCUCACGGCUGUCUCCUGUCCCCCAUUCGUGACAGUCACAUGUCAUCUGUUAAUAUUAAGAAACAAAUCUUUAAGAAACAAAUCAUGUUUGAAAGUGAGACAUUAAAGCAGUCAAAUUUACAUAGAAGCAUGUGUGUUAAUUAUAUAUAAAAAGCAUCUCAGGUCAGUCAAAUAUUCAAGUCACCGGCUGCAAAGGUUUAGACUGUAUGACCUAGAUGUAAGGUACAAAACCACUAAAUCACUAACGUAACGUAAGAAUUUUUUUAUCAGACUUACAAUAUUUGAAAUGAC
ensembl:lncRNA